GCGGUUCCGGUUCACGGCUGCGGCCGACCCGGCGACC
rnacentral:ncRNA from 1 species